AUUUCCUGGGCAUCUUGUUAAAAUGCAGAUUCUAAUUCAGUAGGUCUGGGGCAAGGCCCGAUAUUCUGCAUUUCUACCAAGCUCUCAGGUGAUGUUAG
rnacentral:pre_miRNA from 1 species